rnacentral:rRNA from 1 species
CCUACGGGAGGCAGCAGUGGGGAAUAUUGCACAAUGGGCGAAAGCCUGACGCAGCUACUCCGCGUGUGGGAUGACGGUCUUCGGAUCGUAAACCUCUGUCAGCAAGGAAGAAAGGUCACUUUGCUAAUCAGCAAUGAAUUGACGGUACCUUAAGAAGAAGCACCGGCUAACUCCGUGCCAGCAGCCGCGGUAAUACGGAGGGUGCGAGCGUUAAUCGGAAUUACUGGGCGUAAAGGGCGUGUAGGCGGUAUGUCAAGUCAGAGGUGAAAUCCCCGCGCUUAACGUGGGAACGGCCUUGGAAACUGGCAGACUGGAGUGUGUGAGAGGAUAGUGGAAUUCCAGGUGUAGGAGUGAAAUGCGUAGAUAUCUGGAGGAACAUCAGUGGCGAAGGCGACUAUCUGGCACAUAACUGACGCUGAGAAGCGAAAGCGUGGGUAGCAAACAGGAUUAGAUACCCCGGUAGUC